rnacentral:lncRNA from 1 species
UGAUGUCAUUUUCAAAUCUAGGGAUUCUAGAAUGAAAACCCCUAAUUUUCUUUUCCGAUAUAUUUACAAUCCAACUUGCUUUGACCGGAAACUUAUGUUAAUAAAUUGCUCUCAACAACAGCAAUCGCUUGACGAUAGUUUUAAGUCAUUCUGAGACCAUCGGAUUUGGGUAGACUCGUCGGAUUCCGGUAAAAGCUCAUCAUUUCUAUCCACCUACCAAAGUUCAUCAUUUUAUUUUUUUUCUUAGAUCGGGUUUGGGUUAAGGACAUUUACUGCUUAUCUUUCAUCAUUGUCUUAGCUUACAUGGUUCCAAUUUUAAAUUUAUGUUAAUUUCUGUGUUUAUUAUAGUUUGUUUGAAUAUCAACUCAAUGGCUAGAUUACUAAGAUUUAACAGUCUUUUUAGUGAGAGCCGUUUGGAUGUUAGUAUCUUAUCGAUUUCUGUUCCUGCUUUAUUCUAGAACUAAUUUAUGAUAAAGUUAUUUAGGGUUAUGGUUAAUUUAAGGUUUAAUUGCAUAAAUGUUUUAGUCUUUUCAAUCUUUGAUCUGUGCCAAGUUUGGUUUUGUUUCGUUGGUUUUGACUUGUAACAAAUCAAAGCUUUGAGGGGAAUAAUUAAACAAAUAAAAAAACUUAAGCGGUCUUAGAAGAGUAUGAAAUAGAAUUUUUUUUCAAAUAAGGCUAAGAAGUUCUAGAAUUUGGGGCAGCUGGCUCAAUUUUGGCAAGCACAAAAAGCUGGAACCAAUAAGAGAUUGCCAGUUGUCCUAUUUCUAGUAGGAAGAUACCUUUAUAGGCUGACAUAUUCUUUGAUUUUUUUAAUUCUUCACUAAGGCACACACUUGACACUCUAUAAAAGGAGUAGCACACCUUCAUUACAGGGGACUCGGAUAAAAAAAAAAAAGAAAAUAGAAAACAAAAAGGGAAAAACUAAGAGAAGAAUUUCUAAAAAGCUGGUUUCAGUUGCUUUCUUUGGUAUUUUCUGGGUUGAUAAGCUGUUAAAUCUUAGCACCAUGGGUUGCUGAUUGUUGCUGGAUUUUUUCUGUUCAACCAAAGCUUUAUUUGCUUUCAAGUCUAGCAGUUAUUUUGUCAUUUCCUUUCAUGUUGAUCUUUGUUGAUAGGUAUGUAGUCUAUCUCUUGUCAAACUUUUCUUGAAAUACGGAUUCAAAUAUAUGGUUUACUCAAGUUAUGCUUCUGUCCAAAAUUUGUGCAGUAAAUGGAUGUGUUUUUAUGUUUAUUGUUUAAGUACACCUAUUGUUUGUUUCAUGGUACAUGAAUCCUAUAUCAGCUGUGAACAAUGUUUGGACUGUUUUAAAUCUAGUGAAAAUAUAGUUUGUUUUAUUACAAGUCGAAUAAGCUAGUACAAGUUCAAUCUGUGAAUGAAGCAAGUUUGAUUAGUAUACCAGCAUUUGCAAUUUUCCUUUAAGUGUUGAAUCUAAGUGUGAGUUGGUCACACCCAUGGAUCUGAAUGGAUAGAAUGUUGUUGUGAAGUCUUAUGGUAGUUUAAUUAAUGUUAUGAUCAUGACAAUAACAUGAACUUAUAAGCAAUAGUAUGAUUUAACUUUGUUGUUUGGAAUUUCUAUGGGCUCUUGCUGGUUUGAUUGUUGUAGAUUUGUGGUGUUUGAAAGUUAGUAAACCUUCAAUGUUUCCUUGAAAUGACCUUAGAAGAAAGUUGUUUGGCAUGUAUUUUCUCUGAGUUUUAUUGUUUUCUAAAAUCAUGGAAUAUUACAGUCUUCCUAACAGUUUAUUAUCAUUUGUUUUCUAUUAUGACAAUGUGGCUGCGGAUUUACAAGCUAGCUCUGCAGCUAGCCUUGCAAAUGCAAACUUAUUUUUAAUUACCAAAUCUAGAGUAGCUUGCAUUAACGGAGGAUCAACAUGUUUUGUGGAGCUUUAAUUAAUUAUUAGCUAGAUAUUAGGGUUGUUGAGCUGUUAUGAUUUGUGUUUUGUUUAAAUUAUUUUUAUUAUUCAUCUUGUAUAAGUUGAUUUAGUUGUUCUUUUCUAUGGUUAGGCAUCAUUAAUUUAAAGAAUGUAUGCAACCGUUUAUUAAGUUUAGUUUAAAAGAUUUAGUAGGCCUUGGUAGUGAUUGAUAUUGGCUUUGGCCCAAUUGAGCACCCAAUGUGAAACCAGGCACGGAAUGUAUGGUUCUGCUUUGCCUUUGCGUCUGGGCCCAAUGUCAAGCCCAAAUGCCUUCAAUAUUUUCACUCGUCAAUUGGCCUUCAAUAAUUUGUGGCCCAACGUUCCUCCUUUUGCCAUACUCCUUUAGUUUAAAUACUUUCAUAUAAACAUUAGGCCUAAUGCUUGGCCCAGCUCUUCUGAAACACUUAAGGGCCUUAUCUAUCUCCUCAUAAAAGCUUGGAAUCACCUUUGCAAUACCAAAUUUUGUUCAAACAUGAUCCCUCGUAGUUUACC